CCUACGGGAGGCAGCAGUGAGGAAUAUUGGUCAAUGGACGCAAGUCUGAACCAGCCAUGCCGCGUGCAGGAAGACGGCUCUAUGAGUUGUAAACUGCUUUUGUACGAGGGUAAACGCAGAUACGCGUAUCUGUCUGAAAGUAUCGUACGAAUAAGGAUCGGCUAACUCCGUGCCAGCAGCCGCGGUAAUACGGAGGAUUCAAGCGUUAUCCGGAUUUAUUGGGUUUAAAGGGUGCGUAGGCGGUCGGAUAAGUUAGAGGUGAAAACCCGAGGCUCAACUUCGGAAUUGCCUUUGAUACUGAUCGGCUAGAGAGUAGUUGCGGUAGGCGGAAUGUAUGGGGUAGCGGUGAAAUGCUUAGAGAUCAUACAGAACACCGAUUGCGAAGGCAGCUUACCAAGCUACUUCUGACGUUGAGGCACGAAAGCGUGGGGAGCAAACAGGAUUAGAUACCCCAGUAGUC
rnacentral:rRNA from 1 species